rnacentral:lncRNA from 1 species
UUUUUCUUCUUCUUCUUUUUUUUUUUUUUUCUUUUUUUGGUCUGUGCCUGUAGCAUGUGUGAGUUCCUGGGCCAGGAAUCAAACCCUAGCCACAGCAGCGACCCGAGUCCCUGUAGGGACAGCACUGGGUCCUUAACUCGAUGUGCCACAAGGGAACUCAAAAUGUUCACUCUAACCUCUUUUGAUAAACCAGAAUUCAAGUUUCUGUCUCACUGACCUCAGAAAGUACUAAAAUGCCAUGGAAAUAACAUAUUUUCAACACAUGAACAACAUAUCCUUGGCAAAUCCUGUCCUUGUGGGCAAGCACUCUGACCAUGUAGUUCGUGUUGGGAUUCAGAAAUACAGCAUUUUCACUUAAAUGUUAGUAAAAAUCAUUUUGGGAAAUAAUGGCUAUGCAAUACGUACAGCUAGCCCAUCUGUAGGUAAUGAGAAAUCACCAUUUUAGCCCCAACUUCCUCAUAAGAUGUUUGUAGGACCCAUGAUCCAAAUGAUAAGAAACAAGAUCCUUAUUCACACUCAUGGCCUUGAAAACAUCGAGUUUGGAGCAGUUCUCAGCAGACCUCUCGCCACCCUGCUCAGGCCUGUGACCUCACAGAUUUUGGAUGGCAUUGUUGGUACAAUACCAGGGCUACUCUAGGCAGAAAUGCCCACUGUUCCUCUUUCCCGUACAUUCCUCUGCCACCCAGCAUGACCGUGUUGCCAGACAGGGAAGUUCACCUGGGGAAGGCAGGGCUGUCCCCUGAAACCUGAACACUGGGGUGACAGGUGGCAACCACGCGGUCAGUAGCUGGGUCGCUGUGGAUCCUAAGAUCCUUUGAGCCCCUGCUGAAAGGAAACCUCUCCCUGCUCCAUCUAAGCCCUGGUCCAGGUAUCUUCCCUACCCCAGCUCACCACAGGCACACUGGGCAGAACAGCAGGUCCCUUCACUGGGCUGACCUGAAAGGGUUGUACAUUCCCUCUGCUCCCCUUGGUUCACCUGAUGGAAAUCUGGAGCUGCCAAGGAGGGGUAGGUGCAAAUCCUCAGCCACUCGGAGGUAAGGAAAGAACACCUGUCCAGUGCUUAAUAAAAGCCAUCGUUCUUCUGCCUUUUCAGUCAGCUUCCUGCCCUGCAGCAGUGCUUGAAAAAUGGGAAAUAACAUAACCUAGAACUUUGUUUAAUCAUCCAACCUCCUCAGAGUAAAAAGCCUCUUUCUCUUGCAAUAAUAACAUAAUUUGCAGCGAACCGGCAAAGGCCUUUCAAGGCUUUAUUUUUUAUGGGUAAUAUUAUGUGUGCCUACAGAAAAUGUUAAUACGCAAGUGCUUCUGUGGAGGUGCGUGUUUGUAAACAGUGUCAGUAGCUGGCAUCCUGAAUACCAUAGUUCCCCAUGCAGUUAUUAUCCACAUCACCUUCGCUGCGAGUGAAAUAUGCUGCACGUCAGAGACUGCCAGACUUUAUAUAGUUCUCAGUCCAGUGAAAUAAAAAAACAGCCAAAACUAAGGGUUCUGAUUCAGAGCACCAAACUCUUAUUUUACCAAAUAAAAGCCUACAUAUGCCCACCAUCUACCAUUAAACCAUUCAUCCAUUAGGUUCAACUUACCAGCAACCCCUAUUUUCUACUUAUAACAUAGGGCUGAACAGAAAAGUAAAAUCUCUGACACAUGGAGCCAGUAAUUCUGUGAAACGUCACACCCUCAGGGAAGGAAGGGUGAGCCACAAACACAAUGCAUUUAAUUGGGUACCUUUUGUUGUAUAUGAAAAGCAUCCUGUAGCACCCUCGGUUUGUCCUUUCACUUGAGACUUCUGACGGUUUUUUAGAGAGGGGAAACAAGUGAACCUUCCUCUCCGGAUCUUCACGUGUUCAAAGUAGUAAAAAACCACCGCCACACAUCUAGUGUGAUGCACUUGUGGAUUAUUCUCAUCAACGCAUUUAAAAUGUUUACAUGUGUUGUUAUGCUGUUUAUUCUUAUAUCUCUUUUACCAUGUGUCAGAUUCUAUGUCUUUCUUUAUCAUUCCCUAAGGUAAUUUAUUCCUGGCUUACCUUUGUUUUCUCUGCCCUCAAGGGGUCACAUUUAACGUGAAUGAUCUGAAUGUUUGCUCCACAGAUGGGAAGCAUUAGAUGAGUGGAUGGCGCCACUGAGUAUCUUUCCAGGGUUUUUGAAGCUAGUUACCAGGCAGACAUCACCAACCGGUCUGCCCAAUGUGUCAGAUGUUUGGAGGGUAGUACUGAAACCUAUUUAGUGAUAAAACUUCUCAAUGUAUGCUUUUCAGAUGAAGUGCAGUUCUUAGAAGUAACUGACAUUUAAUUGUCAUUGGUUUUAUACUGUAGGUUUGUAUUUGUAGAGCUGAAAACAGCUCAUCCCAAAUUGUGCUUUCUCUCCAAUUUUAAUUACUUUCAAUUCACCUUAUUAAUCCCCAAAGGGCAAAUAUUACCUAAAUUCCGAAACUGUGGACCUUUGUGCUCCAGGUCCAGGUCCUGCUCUCUGUGCCAGGGGCCUGCUGGUGCCUCCCACCCCCAGUGCUCUGCCCAGAGAAAGUGCCUUGCUGUCAGUGCUGUCUUUACACUCGUCCACUUGUACAUGUGUGUGGGGUGAGUGACAGCCACUCCCUUCUUUCCCCGGACUCUGUAGACAUGACAUGUCUGCCAGUGAUAAAUAUGGAUCCUGCUACAGUGUAUGUCUGUGACGUUCUGUCAGUUCCUCACCUUUGGAACUGUUUAAAAGUUGGAUGAACAACCAUGACUAGAUACAAAAAUGAAAAAAGAUCUAUAAAAUAUAUAUCAGCCAAAUUCAAUUGCUGCUUUUAGGCAGCAAUAUUAGGGUCCCCCUACAUACUUACAUACUUUCUCUUCUCCUUUACUCCGUUGCCUGUGAUUUAUUAUUUCCGGUUUCCGGUGUAACCUGGCAAUCUAGAACCGCACACCAUUGUUUUGUAUCCCCUCACAUCUGACGUGCUUCUAUGCUCUCAUCUGUAGGCAUUAGUUUUGGACCUGUGUUAGGAUAAUUAUUUCACAAACAUAACAAAAUUUGAAAAUUUUGCUGCUGGCCAAAGUGGAAGCAUAUCCCAGAAAGAAGGUAUAUUAUAUCUUUCAAAUCUCAGAAAAUCUCUUCAGAAUCUUUUCUUCAUGAGCAUGUAUGCAUUUGUGUAUUUCUUUGUUGUGAGGACUAAAGAGACUCACUCUACCUAUGCAUCAGGGAAGGUGAUAGAGAAAGAGAGGAAAUCAGUUUGCAACUGGUUCUUCCAUAGAAUAUCAGUGUGACCCUAAGCAUCUUAUUUCAUCCCAUGGUGUCUCAGAUUCAUCAUGCAUUAAUUGUCUGAGGUGGACAGUAGAAGCUCUAACUGAUUAAGAUCUGUGGUUUUAUGGUAGUAGUUGGGGAAAAUAGUGACAUACUGAAAAAUAGUUUUGUCUGACAUAACAGCAGCAGCAUGGAACAUUAAAGUUAGCUCUCUGGUCCUUCACCUUCCUCAAAAAACUCCCAAUUAAGUGUGUUUGGACUUUUUUACUGAUAUUUUUGGCUCUAGGGUUGCAGCCCAGUGGCAGCUGUGCAGUACAUGUUAAUUCGUGUUCUAAUCAACAGUAUGCAUGUAAAUUCAUAGUCUUUCUCAUCUAUGAGUUUCUCCUUCAUCUCGAGAUAUUUGACAUCAGUAACUAUAGCAAUGUGAGUAUUACCAACACCAAUGAACACAAAACAUUAAAUUGCACCUCAUCAGAGACUUUAUAAAAUUCAGUAUUUCCUUUGUGCCUCCCUUAUACAGCACUUCCCUGUUUUGUACAUGUUUAGAAAUCUCUCUUUCACCAACAUAGUAUUAUUUUAUUUUGUUUUUUUCAGAUUCCCACUGGUGUUUCUACUGGUAGGGACUAGGAAUCCCUCCCGCAAACCAAGAAGUACCCUAAAGCCUUAGGAAGCAGGGUGGUGGUCUGCCUGCCGCGGGAUUGGCUGUCCCCUCAGCCCUCAGCUGUUUCUGUGCCAUUUCCCCUGGGAGGGCUCAGUGCCAAAUGCUCACACUGCACAGGGCGAACGCUGAUGCAUUUGCACUUUAUCCCAGUCUCCCAGCUUCUUUAUCUCAGGUGUGGAAAUCUGUGCUUCAGUGCCCACUGUGGAUACUUUGGUUUAUGUCUUACAAUCCAUUUUUGGAGGGGGAGGCGAUUAGCAACAUAUCCCUGACAAAUGGUUGAGGUUUAUUAGGCACACAGAGAUUGGCUAACACCUGGGAUCAGAAGACAGACUGCCUUGUUUUGAAAGCUGCUUCUUCCACAGAAUGGCUGGGCGAUUUUAAAGCAUGAUUACCUAGCUUGAAAACUCAGAUAAUAAGAAUAACCCUUCCAUAGAUUGUUGUCAGAAUUCAGUGACUUAAUCCCUGAUCAGCCCUUAAAACACUGCUUAAUAUAUGCCAAAUGCUUGGUGUUGUCAGUUGUCUCUGUUAUUGGCAUCUAUUAACAUAGUUAUUGUUUUCUAAAGAAUUACACCAGCUCUGGAAUGCCUUUCUCUAGGAUUUCUAUUCAUCUUCUUAAUCGUGGCCUUGCUUUCUUCAUACAGAACCAAAUGCUACCAUAAGAAUUCUUAUCCUAGGUAUUAAACCUGGAGAACUUUCUUGCACUCAGCCAUUUUGAAAUUACCAUAAAGAUUCAUGAAUAACAAGAACUUCUUUUAAGUGGAAUCUCUAAUAUCCUUUCAGCAGUGUUCCUAUUGUUUUAGGUAUUUUUUUUUUAUUUUUAUUUUUCCCAAAUCAGAGUCCUAGUAUUGUACUUAGUUUUGUGACUUUGGGCAAGAUAACUUAGUAUUUCCUUUUCAGUUUGCUGGGAAUAACAUACAACUGUAUAUCACUGGUCUCCAUGAAAAUUAAAUAACUUUAUGAGUUCCCGUCGUGGUGCAGUGGUUAACGAAUCAGACUAGGAACCAUGAGGUUGCGGGUUCGAUCCCUGGCCUUGCUCAGUGGGUUAACGAUCCGGCAUUGCCGUGAGCUGUGGUGUAGGUUGCAGACGCGGCUCGGAUCCCAUGUUGCUGUGGCUCUGGCAUAGACUGGCAGCUACAGCUCCGAUUAGACCCCUAGCCUGGGAACCUCCAUAUGCCGCGGGAGCGGCCCAAGAAAUG